rnacentral:rRNA from 1 species
GAUGAACGCUGACAGAAUGCUUAACACAUGCAAGUAAACUGGGGCGGACGGGUGAGUACGCGUAAAGAACUUGCCUCACAGCUAGGGACAACAUUUGGAAACGAAUGCUAAUACCUGAUACUGUGAGAGAGCUUUGCGUCCCAUUAGCUAGUUGGAGAGGUAACGGCUCACCAAGGCGAGUAUGGGUAGCCGGCCUGAGAGGGUGAUAGGACCCAAGGGGACUGAGACACGGCCCUUACUCCUACGGGAGGCAGCAGUGUGGAAUAUUGGACAAUGGACCAAAGUCUGAUCCAGCAAUUCAGUGUGCAGGAUGAAUUUUUCGUAAUGUAAAGUGCUUUCAGUUGGGAAGCGGUACCAACAGAAGAAGUGACGGCUAAAUACGUGCCAGCAGCCGCGGUAAUUC